rnacentral:rRNA from 1 species
CGACCGGCGCACGGGUGAGUAACACGUAUGCAACCUGGCCGUGACAGAUGGAUAACCGGGAGAAAUCCCGCCUAAUACAACAUAAUGCCGGGAGGGGACAUCCCCUGCCGGUCAAAGGGGGCGACCCCGGUCAUGGAUGGGCAUGCGGCGCAUUAGGUAGUUGGUGGGGCAACGGCCCACCAAGCCGACGAUGCAUAGGGGUUCUGAGAGGAAGGUCCCCCACAUUGGAACUGAGACACGGUCCAAACUCCUACGGAAGGCAGCAG